UACGUAGGCAGCGAGCGUUGUUCGGAGUUACUGGGCGUAAAGAGUGCGUAGGCGGUGCUCCAAGUCUGGUGUGAAAUCUCCCGGCUUAACCGGGAGGGUGCGGUGAAUACUGAGGGACUAGAGUACGGGAGAGGAAAGUGGAAUUCCUGGUGUAGCGGUGAAAUGCGUAGAUAUCAGGAGGAACACCGGUGGUGUAGACGGCUUUCUGGACCGUGACUGACGCUGAGACACGAAAGCGUGGGUAGCAAACAGG
rnacentral:rRNA from 1 species